UGAGGAAUAUUGGUCAAUGGGCGAGAGCCUGAACCAGCCAAGUAGCGUGAAGGAUGACUGCCCUAUGGGUUGUAAACUUCUUUUAUAAGGGAAUAAAGUGGAGUAUGUAUACUCCUUUGUAUGUACCUUACGAAUAAGGAUCGGCUAACUCCGUGCCAGCAGCCGCGGUAAUACGGAGGAUCCGAGCGUUAUCCGGAUUUAUUGGGUUUAAAGGGAGCGUAGGCGGAUGUUUAAGUCAGUUGUGAAAGUUUAAGGCUCAACCUUGAAAUUGCAGUUGAUACUGGAUAUCUUGAGUACAUUGAAUGUGGGCGGAAUUCGUGGUGUAGCGGUGAAAUGCUUAGAUAUCACGAAGAACUCCAAUUGCGAAGGCAGCUCACAGUAAUGUAACUGACGCUGAUGC
rnacentral:rRNA from 1 species